rnacentral:rRNA from 1 species
UACGGAGGAUGCGAGCGUUAUCCGGAUUUAUUGGGUUUAAAGGGUGCGUAGGUUGUUUUUUAAGUCAGCGGUGAAAGUUUGUGGCUCAACCAUAAAAUUGCCGUUGAAACUGGAAGACUUGAGUGUGUUUGAGGCAGGCGGAAUUCCCGGUGCAGCGGUGAAAUGCGUAGAGAUCGGGAGGAACACCAGUGGCGAAGGCGGCCUGCUGGGCUUUAACUGACGCUGAAGCACGAAAGCGUGGGUAGCAAACAGG